GAACGCACCUUGCACCCUUUGGUAUUCCGAAGGGUAUGCUCGUUUGAGUGUCAUUGUAUUCUCACACUCCCGAUCUUUGGGUUGGGAGCGGUGGACUUGGGUUUGCUGCUUCACCGUGGCUCACCUCAAAUAUGUUAGUGCAGCUCUUGGUUGGACAUAGUACGGCGUGAUAAGUAUCUUCGCCGGCACCUCGUAAGAGGGUGGCCGAUUGGGAGCUCUGUGCUUUCAAACCGUCUUCGGACAAUCUCUGACAACUUGACCUCAAAUCGAGUAGGACUACCCGCUGAACUUAAG
rnacentral:misc_RNA from 1 species